CAGCCGCCGCGGGAAUACGUAGGGUGCAAGCGUUAAUCGGAAUUACUGGGCGUAAAGCGUGCGCAGGCGGUUAUAUAAGACAGAUGUGAAAUCCCCGGGCUCAACCUGGGAACUGCAUUUGUGACUGUAUAGCUAGAGUACGGCAGAGGGGGAUGGAAUUCCGCGUGUAGCAGUGAAAUGCGUAGAUAUGCGGAGGAACACCGAUGGCGAAGGCAAUCCCCUGGGCCUGUACUGACGCUCAUGCACGAAAGCGUGGGGAGCAAACAGGAUUAGAUACCCGAGUAGUCCCUGUCUCUUAUAA
rnacentral:rRNA from 1 species